GUCCAUGACGUGCUUGCGCUCUUGGGAAUGCCUGAGAGCAUGUCUGCUUCAGUGCUUCUACUUUCAUUUGCUGCUGCUCUUGUUAUCGGGAGCAGUGUUGCUGCAUGCUUCUGCAAAAGGCACUGGCAUGCUAAGUAUCAAGUUUUGCUUGCUGUUCUGACUGAUCAACAUCUCAUGUCGUUUCAGUUGGCGAAACAAAAGCUGAAGUGUGUUCUUAACACUUCCUAGCAUGAAGUCAGACAAGUGAACCCGCUGAACUUAAGCUAAUGGAUCCCCAGAACAUGAGCAGCAGCAAAUGAAAGUAGAAGCACUGAAGCAGACAUGCUGGCAGACUGGUCUGCAUGCCCGACUCAGCUGCUCCUCGACGCA
rnacentral:rRNA from 1 species